GGUUGUUGCAUGGAAGUGUAACGAGUGCAGCUUAGAAGUAUAGAAACGGCAAAGUAUGUUUUCAUCGCAACUAUUCAAUACAUUUAAAGUUGUUUUCUGGAAAGCAAAAUUUUUCAGGGAAGGUUCGAGAGGAAACCUGUUCAUCCUUACUUCGAUGGAAUGGAAAAAAAGAAGAGAAAAUGGACGAUGAAUAAGUAUCGCACUUAACUCUUAGCUCGUUACUAGUGACGUACUUUAGUUCUCUGGUUACAGAGAAAAGUCGAUAUGGAAGGUUGUACUUUUCUGUCCGUUGGAGUCCACAAUCUAUCGCCGAUGAUCAACGCAAGGGCGUAAUUAACUUCCGUGAAUGAAAAGAGAAGACAUUCUCUUUUGUUUUCCAUUCUGACAAGGUGAAAAGAGCAUUUUUUAGUGCAUUGAACUGGAGACAAAAGAGUGAGCUCUCUUAUAACAGAUUUAGUUCUUUUAAUCAAUCAAUUUCUGUUUACAGAACAUUAUUUCGGGUUUUUUUCUUUUUUCGUGUGUAGGACUGCAACGAUUUGCCCUCACACGAAAGAAAAUUUUGUCCGGGAUCACAUUGGGAGAACGAGUGGGAGAAGGAUAACUUGUCAAAAAAAAGACGAAAUUUCUCAUAACAUUUUACAAAUAGAAUAUAAGAUAGAAUUUUACUUACGGAGCUUCUAUGGGGUACUUUCAGUCGCCAUCUUGUAUUCGGUCCACAAACAAGAUGGCGCAGAAAGUAAAUAUACCGGCAUUCAAAUUGUGGAUUUUACGGGGCUUUUUGGUAUAUUCGCUGAUCUCACGUCCUAUUUCUUCCCUAGAUGGAUUCCAGAGUUGACUGUUCAGAUUGAAAUUUUGAUUCGAAUUUGACAUUUUCAAUGCAUUUUAAAAUUUCUGGCAAAGAUCACUUCGAAGACUGACGGGGUUUUCUAUGUCAGAUGAGUCAUAGCGGGUUUUGGUUUAUGUCUCGCUCCUGUUGGAGAGGGGGAAAAAUGUGAGAGAUAUAUGCAUUUAACUCUAUGUAGCCUACUGUAUUUUAGUGUUAGCCUUAUAAUAAACCUUUAUUUUAUUAUUUGUUAAAUCCGUCUCUUGUCACUUCGAACCACGGACACCUGCCGACUUUCUCAUCUCCUCGCCCCUCGAUAAAAAGCCAUACAAAAGACAAAGUUUGCAAGUUUUAUCAACUCGACGUGUCAGAGGCAAGUAGGGUAUUGACCCUGAACCCUCGUAAUCUCACAAAAUAAGAGAAAUUUCACUCGCCGUUGACAUAUUUCUAAUUUCUUUUCUUCAUCUUCGGUAAAGACAUAGUUUGGCCGAUUUUUUCGUAAAUUCAAGUUACUUUGUAGGUAUUUUUUCGUUUUGUAACACUCUUGUCGACAAGCUUCCUCUUACAAAGUUCAGACUUCUUGCGAAUAAUUUUCGGGACUGAACGCACUACAAAUGUCAGUUUUUCGAUAAGAUUCAAGCUCCGAAUGAAUGGUUUUUCGAUUCCCCGAAUUGAAGACCUCUUGUGUGCGAGCAGAAAAGUCAAAGGAACCAUACAUCUAUGUGUGACCCUUCGCGAGGUAUUCACUUCCUAAAGGUCAGUUUUUAACAUGUAUCAGUACACUGCCUAUUCUCCAUGUUCUACGGAAUCUAGGUUAGCGAUAGCGAGCUCCGCAUUUAGUCGCGCGCUUGGGCUUGCCCCCACACAUUUAAACAGUAUAUAACAUCAACUACUCCAUGAACAGUCAAGUGGGCUACUCGAAGCUGGAAUAGUUACGUUGACUAAAUAAUUAAACGCCAUAGUGUUAACGGCGCGACUUAAUUCUGGGGGCUAUAACACGCUACCUAAAAUGUGAAAUGGCUUAAACCUAAUCUAGAAACCAUAAUAUGUGACGUUAUAAUUUUAUACGAUUUCCAUAUCCACUAUAACUACUCUAAGACUCGUGCUGUCGAGAUUUUAAGAGUGCCUCUAUAGGGACUCCGUAAAUAAAAUUGUACUUUCGUCUAAAGAAAAUGUAAGUAGAUUUUUUCUUCUUCUCAGAAGGUAUAUUUAAAUACAUAUUUUACAAGAAACAUUUGCUUAUAUAACUUUUAAUUUUGAAAUGAAGGUGGUAAAACGUGUAACUGAAAGGGAAGUAGCUUCUUCCUAAAACACAUUAACAAUCGAUCUACUUGUUUCUGAACCUCGCCGAUAAAUUACUUUGAAGGUUGUACUUAAUAUCACUUUAUCGAUUUAUUUCAAAUUUAUUGAUACGUAUUUUUCUAUAUUAAAUUCGUUCCUUCUUACAGAAUUUCAGGCUGAAGCUAUCCACAGCCGACCAAUAGAAACCACCGUGUAAUAACUGACGAAUGUUUCCCGUAAAAUGAAAAAUUAGUUCGUGUUUACGGAAGAUUAAAGUAAUGGCGAGAAAUGAUACGAGAAAACGAUACAGAAAAAAAACAUUUUUUGCAAAUGAAGGAAAAGUGGAAAUUGAAUGAAGAUACUAUAAGAUUUUUUUCAAUAAUUUUUUAAUAAUAUUCUUCGUAUAAAUUGUUUCUAGAAAAAAUAUAUUUCUAUGUAUAAAUUAUAUAAUUUGUGAUCGUUGGUAACAAUAGUAAGCGCCGGAAAGUAGUUGGUAUGUGUGGUGUGAGGCAAUCGCAAUAGAUUGUAUUCCGUUAAUUUUAGUUUAAAGAAAACUUGUGAGAAAAAUACAAUUUACUUUUCUAUCUGCAAACACAAGUUUUAACAAUACUUUAUAAAAUAGUGCAUUCGAGUUUACAUUCUUAUAUAUUUAAUUGAAAUAAUACAUCGUGAGUUUCGAUAUUUUUAUUUAUAUUUUACAGAUUUCUCUGGUAAUGAAACAAGAAAUGGAAAGUAUCGAUGUGGCAGUUGCCAGAAAGAAUUCGUUUCGAA